GUUGGGUGUGUCCUUGUUGAACCAGUCCACGAAACUCAUUGGGCAGUUCACUACCACGUUUGGCGCUAGAACCGGCACCGACGCUCCACGGUGGUGGGCUUGUUUCGGCGGGUUGUUUCCGAACCCAACCAUGACUGGGAAGAACCUUGGAAAGAAGAAUUUGAGCGCCAGCAUAUUUGAGAUCCCAGCUGAAUUCAGCCACACUUGCACUAAUGGACUCUUCUUGAAUGUACUUCAAAUAAACUGGCCUCUUUGUUGCAAUGUAUAGCCAGGUGGCAGCCCACAACAGCUCAUCCUAUGUAAUUUUACCGUUAGUUGUGGUUAGAAAAACUUUGAAAUAAAUAACCAAAAUUUCAAAUUGGUUAUUAGUUAGAUUGGGAUUGUCUCAUUCAAUCAUUAUGGAACGAAUUACGUACAUUGAAACCAGAAUAAGAGCAAUAGAAAGGGCACUCUCCAUCGUAA